UUCGUCAGCUCAGUUCCUCUCCACUGCCCUCCGUCACCGCGUCCUCCACCCCCUCCCCCACGCCGGCCGGCUCCACGCAGCCGUCCCCGAGGGCUUGCGGCCUCCAACGCCGCCAUAGCACGCGGAGCGGAGGAUGCCAAACUUACCUCGCCGUACCCAUCCCUGCCGUCCCCCGUGGGCCCGCGGCACGUGGUCGUCGCGGCCGCCCGCCAGCCCGCCUCCUCCUCCACGUGCCUCCGUACUGUCUCGCCGUCCUCGCCGUCCCCCUGGAGUCGUUUGGCUGUGGCACGUUCAACGAGACCUUUUUCGCAGACGCGGCGGUGGUGCUCGACGUGCCCGUCGCCGCGCCCUUCGCCAUCCCAUCCUCGUGCCUCGAGGCCGUCCCAACGUCGCCGUGACCGUCGAGCUCCGCAACGGCGACGUCGGCUGGUGGGGGAGGAACCCGUGCUGCCGUCCGUCACGGCCGAGGACCAGCCGGCGACGCUCGCCGCAGCAGGCCAGGCCUGCGACGCUUUGGCGGGCGCACCAGCGGUGCCUCUCGGCGCGAUGCUCCAGGAAAUCACCGUUGUCCUCCUGCGGAGACGACGACAGCCACGCAGCCAUCCUCUCCAUCCCCGAACCCGUUCCUUUCUUCCUCUCGCUGCGGCUGCCGUCGUCACCGGCUCACCGCUACCUAUGCUCUUCUCUCCCGGCUCGCCUGAUUUUUUUUUAACCUCUGCAUCCAGGACCAUGGUGUCGUAUUGCAGUCAGGUAGCUUUUAACAGCUCCGAACGGAUUUGUUCUAGGUUCUCUACUACUAAUAUUAAUUUCAUCUGGUCUUAAAUUCUAUCAACUAUGAUAUGACCAGAGUAUUCUUGGUUGCCUGAAAAGGUUUUGUCCAGCGAAUACAAAUUCCAAUUUGCUUUUAAUUCCACCAAACAUAGUCUGCCUGAGAUAUCCUGCUGCUCCCUGAUAAGGAAGUGAACUAUUUUCCUUUAUUUGUAGUGUAUCUUUUCUUUGUAUCCCCUUUUAGUAUUUUAAAAAUUACCUGUCAGAUAAUUUUGAAUCACUGAAACCUUUACAAUAGAUUUCUGAUGGUUUGAAAUUGAUGUGUAGCACAUGUCUGAUUAAAGCUAUAUAGAACCUCAGUGGCUAAAGAUUAAGGAUGUCUUAACUAAGGGUCGCUUCUUGCUGGUACCAAGCAAGGCCAGUGCAGGAGCAACUAAUCCUCUCCCAUAGAGCCAAGAUUGUUCAAGUGCCUACAGUCUACCAGGCUGCCAUUCUGGACCCUUCAUUGUCCUGGUCCUCCAAUUGAUCAGGAGAGUAGACUUGGGCUGCAUAAUGCAUUUGCUAAAAAAUGGUGAUUAGUGGAAGCUUUAGUUCUUCGCUUCAAGAAUGUCGUGUAAUUGAUCUAAUGAACUGUUUAUGAACCUGCAAUAACCUGGUUAUUCGUAAUUUUUUUCAUGCAGCAUUAAUGUUCAUUCAGUUAAAGUGGAUUUAGAAAGAUGGACACAUUAAAAAGCUUUUUGCAAUAAACUGAAUUCAUUAA